rnacentral:rRNA from 1 species
GACCCUACGGGACGCAGCAGUGAGGAAUAUUGGUAAAUGGGCGGGAGCCUGAACCAGCCAAGUCGCGUGAGGGAUGACGGCCCUAUGGGUUGUAAACCUCUUUUGCCGGGGAGAAACGUGCCGCACGUGUGCGGAUUGGAGAGUACCCGGAGAAAAAGCAUCGGCUAACUCCGUGCCAGCAGCCGCGGUAAUACGGAGGAUGCGAGCGUUAUCCGGAUUUAUUGGGUUUAAAGGGUGCGUAGGCGGACGCUUAAGUCAGCGGAAAAAUUGCGGGGCUCACCCUCGUCG